UACGCAUGCUCACUACCCCCUCUCCCGCUGGCGCCCUGAGGGAUUUAAAUAAUCCUCAAAUCCGUUACUCCACCUACCUGGCUGUUCUGUGGCCAAAGAUGGUUGAGAUAGUGAGAACCUUGCUUCAGGGGGAGAACUGAGUGGAGAAUUGACAAACCACCAUGGCAAGCAACAUCCUCACUGAUAGUUUGCAACCUACACAUCACAUUUGCUGAUUUGCUGGUAGAGCAAUACUCUUCUACUCUUCCAGUGAAAAUUCUCAAGCUCAUUGGAGUUGUGAAAUGUGCAUGUAUAUCAUCACACAUAUAUCCCACUGGCCAAUACAGGAAAAGAUCAGAAAGCUCCCCCUUAGAGGUUUCGGGAUUUCAGAAUUUGCAAAAGAAGACUUGCUUUUUUUUUUUUUUGAGGCUCCAACAGAAGAAGAAAUCAAUCGGUGUUUUCAGAAAUUUCCUCUUCACAGAAGAUGAAAUUGUCCCAAAAGCAAGUUGUCACGUGAUAUCUUCAAAGCACAGCUUCACAAGUCCCUGAGUCUCUCUCCUGCGACGCUAGCCCAACAUGAGUUCCUGAUCCGUCUCCCACGCAGCAGCCUAGGUUGGCUCCAGUCGAGUUCUCUCCAACCCAGAGAGCACGUGCUCGGGAAGAAGCACCCUCAGGCUGUCCUGGCAGGUCAGAGAAGGUGAUACUCUGCUAUUGCUCGUUGACCAGGGUGCGUGAAAUGCAGCUGCUGCUACUCUGUAGCCCUGCCUCUGGAAGUCUCUUGAGAACUUUUUUUAAGUGGGGCCUGGAAGUAAAAUGGAUAGAAGGAAAUUUUUUAGUAGGCUUUCCUAGAUCAACUCAAAGCAGAUUGUGGAAACAGUGACCAUCCUCCUUGUUCUCUCAAUUUUCUUUCCACUACUGAAAAUGCAGGUUAUCACAAAUUUUGCACACAAUCAAUCUUGAGAACAUUAUUGAGAACACUGUGGUGAUAAGAAUGACCAGUAUUUUAAAACAUAGCAUUUCUUUUUUUCUGAAGGAAUUAUUUAGAAAAGAAGGUGAACAGCUUGAGUUACAGAUGGUACCCUAAUUUACUGUACUUGACAAUCUCAAAAUUAAUUUACAAAAUGUAAAAUGUCAUUUUUUAUGUAUUACAUUAAUUAGUAGAAGAAACUAAGGCACAUAGAAAUGUAUUGC